rnacentral:rRNA from 1 species
ACCCUACGGGAGGCAGCAGUAGGGAAUCUUCCACAAUGGGCGCAAGCCUGAUGGAGCAACACCGCGUGAGUGAAGAAGGGUUUCGGCUCGUAAAGCUCUGUUGUUGGGGAAGAACGGGGGUGAGAGGAACUGGUCACGCAGUGACGGUAUCCAACCAGAAAGUCACGGCUAACUACGUGCCAGCAGCCGCGGUAAUACGUAGGUGGCGAGCGUUAUCCGGAUUUAUUGGGCGUAAAGCGAGCGCAGGCGG